AAGGACUAAUAUUCAAUUUUUUUCCUUUUCUGCUAUUAUCCUCCGAUUGAUUUAAAUCUUGAUCUAUACAAUAAUUCAACUCAAUUAUCAAUCUCAAAUACCUUAUAACAUCUAAUUGUAUUCAUAUGACAUUUUUAUUUUUAAAAAUUCUCUAAAACUUUUCAUUUUAUUCAAUUUAGUCCCUAAAACCAAAAUAGUCAUAACUUUCACAUUUGAGCUUCAAUUUUGAAACUGAUUUUAAUUUCAUCCUUCUAAGGCCCUCUACUAUCCAUAAUCACCUAAAUUUCAUACCAAAUUUGAAAUAUUCACACUGUAAAUAGGCCAAUUUGCCGGGCCCAAAGAAGAACCAAAAUACAAAAUAAAUUAAAAUUAAAUAUAAAUGUUAACAGUCCAUUAAAUGUCUAUUUACAGACUUUGGCCCAAUAACUAAUCCAAAGCCCAAAUUAAUACCCUAGCCCAAACCUAGACCCAAACGCCCAAGGCCCAAACGACCCAAAAUUCCUUAGCAAACGGAAACCCUAGGGUACCCUCCAGCGCCGUACACUCCAGUGCCUCAGCAGCCACGCCAUGCCCACGCCCCCGUACGUGUGCCAUGCACUUCGUACCUGCGAAAGAAGACAAACAAAAACGGCAACAGAGCAGUAGCAAAUAGGAAAUGAUGAAAAAUUGUAUUUUUAUUUUUUCUUUCUUUCUUUUCGGCUAUAAAGCCCUCUUAAUUUUCGAUUGUAAAGGUUCCUUUUUUUAUGCAAUAUAGACGCACACAGAGGCAAUAUGCAUACUGAAUAGAAAAAAAAGCAAUCAAAACAUUUAAAGGUGAUUUCAAGCACCUUAUAUUUCGGUUGUUCGAAUCUGCUUCCUUUUUUUUCUUUUCGUUUUGUUUUUUUAGUAUAACGAAAUAAAAUAGCGAUUUUACCUUGCAAAAGUACCAUGGAUUCCGUCUGCUUCGUUGAAAUUAGAAUAUAGAAGGAAUUCCAUGGUCGAAAUUGUCACCCCUUGAAUCCCGAAUCUGUUCGUCACCGUUGAUAGGAGCAGAUCGGCGCUUAGAAGGGCAGUUUUAGGGUCGAAUAGGGAGGAAAUAAAAGGGGCUAGGGUUUGGAUCAAUGAGGGUAUCUGAUAAAAAAGGGGGUUUUAUAUAUGUGAGCGAACGACGUCGUUUAAGGCUUGUUCCCACGGCCUCAAAACGGCGUCGCAUGAGCCUAUUCGACCCGACCUGAUCCUUUGCCCCUGGGAUCCGCGCGUUUGUGCGGUGAGGGGAUAUUUGCACACCAAGUCCUCCCCUUUCGCAUGCGCAGUCAAUUGCAUCUAGUUUGUUUUGUUUCUUUUUUUAAAAAAAAUUUGGAAUUGUAAUUUGCGCAUGGUUGCAAAUAGAUCCGCGCCUAAGCGCUUCGUUUUGGGGUCUGGAUUAUUUCCAGAUUUGGUCCUUGCGCAUUCACA
rnacentral:lncRNA from 1 species